rnacentral:rRNA from 1 species
AUUGAACGCUGGCUGCAUGCUUUACGCAUGCUAGUCAGACGGCACCACACAGAAUCUUGCUUCUUGAGUGGCGAGCGGCGAACGGAUGAGUAAUAUAUCGGAACAUACCGAGUAGUGGGGGAUAACUAAUCAAAAGAUUAACUAAUACCGCAUAUUCUCUGAGGAGGAAAGCAGGGGACCUUCGGGCCUUGCGUUAUUCUAGCGGCCGAUAUCUGAUUAACUAGUUGGUGGGGUAAAGGCCUACCAAGGCGACUAUCAGUAGCGGGUCUGAGAGGAUGAUCCGCCACACUGGGACUGACACACGGCCCACACUCCUACGGGAGGCAGCAGUGGGGAAUUUUGGACAACGGGCGCAAGCCUGAUCCAGCCAUGCCGCGUGUCUGAAGAAGGCCUUCGGGUUGUAAAGGACUUUUGUCAGGGAAGAAAAGGACAGGGUUAAUACCCCUGUUUGAUGACGGCACCUGAAGAAUAAGCACCGGCUAACUACGUGCCAGCACCCGCGGUAAUACGUACGGUGCGAGCGUUAAUCGGAAUUACUGGGCGUAAAGCGAGCGCAGACGGUUACUUAACCAUGAUGUGAAAUCCCCGGGCUCAACCUGGGAACUGCGUUCUGAACUGCGUGACUACAGUGUGUCAGAGGGAGGUAAAAUUCCUCGUGUACCAGUGAAAUGCGUAAAGAUGUGGAGGACUACCGAUGGCGAAGGCAGCCUCCUGGGAUAACACUGACGUUCAUGCUCGAAAGCGUGGGUAGCAAACAGGAUUAGAUACCCUGGUAGUCCUCGCCCUAAACGAUGUCAAUUAGCUGUUGGGCAACUUGAUUGCUUAGUAGCGUAGCUAACGCGUGAAAUUGACCGCCUGGGGAGUACGGUCGCAAGAUUAAAACUCAAAGGAAUUGACGGGGACCCGCACAAGCGGUGGAUGAUGUGGAUUAAUUCGAUGCAACGCGAAGAACCUUACCUGGUCUUGACAUGUACGGAAUCCUCCAGAGAUGGAGGAGUGCCUUCGGGAGCCGUAACACAGGUGCUGCAUGGCUGUCGUCAGCUCGUGUCGUGAGAUGUUGGGUUAAGUCCCGCAACGAGCGCAACCCUUGUCGUUAGUUGCCAUCAUUUAGUUGGGCACUCUAAUGAGACUGCCGGUGACAAGCCGGAGGAAGGUGGGGAUGACGUCAAGUCCUCAUGGCCCUUAUGACCAGGGCUUCACACGUCAUACAAUGGUCGGUACAGAGGGUAGCCAAGCCGCGAGGUGGAGCCAAUCUCACAAAACCGAUCGUAGUCCGGAUUGCACUCUGCAACUCGAGUGCAUGAAGUCGGAAUCUCUAGUAAUCGCAGGUCAGCGUACUGCGGUGAAUACGUUCCCGGGGCUU